UUAAUGACUUAAGGACUUACGAUUGCUCUAUGCACCGGACGGGAUCAGAAAUAGGAGCUAGAUGGAGGAUGGACGUGUAACCCAAUCCAAUAGAAGUGUAUAAGUAGGCAUUUCUAUCAAUCUAUGCUUGUAAGUCAGUCUAUGCUAUGUAGGUGUAUUAGUUGUCUGAACAAAGACUCAUAAGCACAAUUUGACUCCCUCUUAAAGGCUUGCCUUGGA
rnacentral:lncRNA from 1 species